GGCGGGGUGUGGGCAGGAGGUGAACCUUUGCAACGUCCAAUCAGAAGGCUAAGUGUUAAGAUAACAAGAGCCGAUAUUUAGCAGUCGAUAAGUGCAACAUGUAAGCAGUUUGUUCAUAUGCAGCUCAAAGGCUGUCCCCAAAGUUAAACUUAGUAUGGCGCCUACCCACUCAAUCCAGUUACCCACCCCAUUUCAGGGUGGAUAUGUGAACUAUCACUAAUUUUGGUUCUUCUAACGAAUAAAACAUUUAAACCUAGCUGUUCAGGAAAGCAAACAAGUUUAAAACUACAGCCAUGCUGCAGUUAAACUCAAUAGACUUACUCAGAGCAAAAUACAUGUUCCCUGAAAGUAGUUGAAAGUUAACAUCGUUGUAUUAGAUGUCGGAAUAUCUGUUUAAAUGGAGCCGUGAGCUUUCCCAAUGUAGACAGGGCUCCUCGAAACGUGGCAGUGUCCCCCCUGCAGCUGCAGAGCGAGACAGGAGAGUUUGUUUUUGUGAAUGAGCAGUUGUAGCGCGAGGUGGCUGUUGCUUGGUGACGGUGAGGCUCCCCGGCCCCGCCCAUCCCCCCGUGCAGACGUCACGCGGGGGUGAAGGCGGUUGGGAGGAGAAGUCGCUCGAGCGGGGAAGCGGCGGCCGUUAGGAAAAUGGCGCCGUGCGGCCCGGGGCAGACCCCCGUCACUGGUCACCGCCGCCUUCCUGGUGCAGCUGCUGUGUCACGGCCACACCGGCCGGCUGUACAGCAGGCAGGAGCCGGUGACCAUUCUGGAGGCGGAUGGGGUUAAGGGCCUGUUUGGGAACUGGUCGGCCGCCUGGGUGGUGGAGUUCUACUGGUCGUGGGGCGGCCCCUGUGUCAACUAUGGGGCCACCUGGAAGGUACUGGGCCCGGGAGGUGAAAGGGCCACUACAAGCCUUCUCAGUACUCUACAAGUGACUUCACCAACAUCCUGUACACCUUCAACAUGAUGUCCCAACUCCUUUAUUCAAUGGUGUGAACAAUUAAGCUACCCGAUGAAGGAGCAGCGCACUGAAAGCUAGUGCUUCCGAAUAAAUCUGUUGGACUAUAA